AACGAACGCUGGCGGCAGGCUUAACACAUGCAAGUCGAGCGCCCCGCAAGGGGAGCGGCAGACGGGUGAGUAACGCGUGGGAAUCUACCCAUCUCUACGGAAUAACGCAUGGAAACGUGUGCUAAUACCGUAUACGUCCUUCGGGAGAAAGAUUUAUCGGAGAUGGAUGAGCCCGCGUUGGAUUAGCUAGUUGGUGGGGUAAAGGCCUACCAAGGCGACGAUCCAUAGCUGGUCUGAGAGGAUGAUCAGCCACACUUGGACUCAGACACGGCCCAGACUCCGACGGGAGGCAGCAGUGGGGAAUAUUGGACAAUGGGCGGAAGCCUGAUCCAGCCAUGCCGCGUGAGUGAUGAAGGGCCUAGGGUUGUAAAGCUCUUUCACCGGUGAAGAUACUGACGGUAACCGGAGAAGAAGCCCCGGCUAACUUCGUGCCAGCCGCCGCGGUAAGAC
rnacentral:rRNA from 1 species